rnacentral:lncRNA from 1 species
UUUAUGAAUAACAAUUUCUUAAAAAAUUCAAUGGCAUUAAUGUACAAACAAGUGGAAAUGUGGAUCAAUACACAUCAAGACAAAUGCACAUUUCAUUAACUUGAAUGCACAAAACUUAAGCAAAUUACAGGAUUCUCUCUAAUUUGUACAAAGAAUGGUGAAUCCUGUUGCCUACAUUAUUACAUCCCAUCAACUCAUCCAACAAAUUCAAAGCACAGUUGCUUUUACUCUCCUGACCAACUCCUUCCUGUCACACACAAAACAAAAUCAAUGUCAGAAACAGAAUCAACCAAAUGUUACAUUUCAUGAGUCACAAACUAUGAAGCACGGACACUCCUCGGAUUAAGCGUGUCCCGGUGUCGGACACCGACACACUGACCAAUUAACUAGAGUAAAAGUGAAAUGGUUAAUUUUUUUUUCUUUCAAUUUUUUACCUCAUGAGUUGCCUGUCAAAUCCUGAUGCAGCCAACACUCCUCUAUUCUCCUCAGCCCUUCUCAAGAGGUAUGGCAUAACAGUCUCAACAGGUCCAAAUGGCAUGUACUUGCUAACUUGAAACCCUGCAUUGCUCAAAGCAAAGGAUAGUGCCUCAGACAUUCCAUAUAGUUGUGCAAAUUCCAUCUUAUGGUUCACCUUUCCAAUCCCUAAUUCAUGUGCUUUUGCAGCAGCCAAUUUUCCUAUACAAAAAACAACAUUAAUUAAAUCAAACUCAUACCAUACCCCUCAAUUGCAUACAUUAAUUUCCUUAUCAUCAUAAUAUCAUAUAAUAUAUACCUGAUUCAAUGUUAUGAGUUGCAAGAACAACUCCACCAGGACCAUUAGCAAUCUUCUCAAGCAUGUAAUCUGAACAAUCAUUGAAACACUUAUGUGUAUCCUUAAUAGUGUUAUGAAUUGGUGAAGCAUAUCCCAAAUCAGCAGCCAAUUUUCUUUCACUAGACAUAUAAGCACCUCUAACCAACUUAAAUCCCAUUGGUAUCCCCAUUUUCUCAGCAGCCUUUGAUGCCAACAACAUUCUCUCCUUAGCGUCUUUCAAAUAAGUUUGAAUGGUUCCAAACACAGUAGGGUUUUCACCUUUGUUAUGCAAAAUUGCUGAAGAGUAUGUAAAGUAAUCAAUAGCAGGUUGAACUGAAGUAUGUUCUGCAUCAACCAAUAAUGGAAUAUUGGCUUGCACACAUUUCUGACAAAGCUCAAGGAAUCUCUUGUUAGCAAGAUCAAGAUCACUCUCUUCUUCUGCUGUUAAUGGCUCUGGUCUCUUCCUUGUAUGGUACAAAGGACUUGACUCUGAGAAAAUUGGCAAUGAAUCUUGCUUCCAUGGUAAAACAAAAGAAGGGUCUUUCUUCUGCCAUCUCAGCAAAUCACUCAUUCUUUCAAGCAAACUCAUUGGACAUAUUGCAGUAAUCUUCACAAUCACAAAGCUUACCUAUAACACAAAAAAGUUCAAUUUUGAAAAUAUUAGUACAUAACAUUCAUAAUCAUAAUGUUAAAUUUAAAAUUAAAAUAACCCCUCAAAUUCAUAACACUUUUUUUUAAGUAAUUUUAAAAAAAGUAUAUAAAAAUGCACCAGCAACCACAGUUUUUUCUGUGUGGCUUAUUAGUGCUUGAGUCUUUUACCAAAAACAAUUGUUUGUUUGUUUGUUCCAAUUCCAAUGUUCCAUUCCAAUUCCAUUGUUCCUUUCCAUGCUUUGAUCAAUUUCAUGAAUCAAAUUCCAAUUCCAUUUCCAAUUUCAAUGUUCCAUGCUUAGUUUUCUUUUCAUUCCUCAGAAGCACGGAAUCAGACACGGACACCAGAUACAUCACGGCAGCAGCAACAACGUCAUCAAUCAAUGCUGUAUUAAAUUGCGGUUGCAGUCACGAAUGCGGAACUCAGCACCAUCAAAACGGUUAUUCUCAAUUGAAUUUGGAUCCAUUAAAGCAGAUUGCAUCUCUCUUCUGUGACAAUGAAGAAACCGAACCAAAAAAGCAAAAAAAGAAAACAGUUACAUUUUGAAAUAGAGAGAUGAAAUAAAGAAGAGAUUACCGAAGAUGGAGGAAGCGAUCUGCUGACAUCAACGGUGUGAAGAAAACCUUUGAGAUUGCGAUCACAGCCAGCAUUAUCAUGAGCAUCUUCAACGCCAUAAACCAGCAUUCCACGUAAACCUGCUUCAUUCAACCCGGCAAUACUUUUUCCAGCGGUGAUAGCAUCUUCUCCGGCACAAAAAUGAUCGAAAAAAGUGGCACGUGUGGUAGCCAUAGCAAGGUUACUUAAUGGAUUAUUGGUCUGCAUGAGAUCAGACCUCAACAACCAUGUACCGAGGUCAACCAUUGGCUCGACCGCGGUAGCAUGGAGGACAGCAGUUGAUUUGAGAAGUUUUUUGGUUGGGACGUGCGAAAAGAGUUUUUCGACGUCGUGGAAGUCGAGAUUGGCGUCGGGAGGGAGGAUGGUUGUUACCGAUGAUGGCAGUUUUUGGUCUAAAAUAUUAGACGCAGGAGCGACAGCGGGCGAGGUGAGGGCAGGUUGGAACGGUUUUGUGGCAGUGUUGUAACGGAGUUUCCUUAGGAUUCUUGGUGGGAUAACUCUGGUGGCCAUCAACCGGUCAAAGAUGAUUUAUAUGAUAUAAACAAGAAGAUAUAUGUUUUGAUAUGAUGAAUAAAAAACCAGAUACUUUUGUUAAUGUAAUGAGAUACAACAAAAUGUGUAUGCUUGUGAAGUAAGAAUGAAUUAGAAGGAGAUGUAUAAAUAGGGGUGAAAAGAAGAAUGUGGUAGCUAAAAGAAAGGAGGGUGUGAUUAAAAAAGAUAAAAAGAGUCAAGUGGAUGAUGUGUGAAUUGGUUGGUGGGGAUAUGAGUAAGUUUGUUAUAGUUUUUGACCAAAGUUGGUUUAAUUUAGAAAAUUGUUUUAGUCAUGUUUCCUAAAUUAUUGGAGUAAGUUAGUUUAAUAUGAGUAAAU